rnacentral:rRNA from 1 species
AUUGAACGCUGGCGGCAUGCCUUACACAUGCAAGUCGAACGGCAGCACGGGUGCUUGCACCUGGUGGCGAGUGGCGAACGGGUGAGUAAUACAUCGGAACAUGUCCUGUAGUGGGGGAUAGCCCGGCGAAAGCCGGAUUAAUACCGCAUACGAUCUACGGAUGAAAGCGGGGGCCCUUCGGGCCUCGCGCUAUAGGGUUGGCCGAUAGCUGAUUAGCUAGUUGGUGGGGUAAAGGCCUACCAAGGCGACGAUCAGUAGCUGGUCUGAGAGGACGACCAGCCACACUGGGACUGAGACACGGCCCAGACUCCUACGGGAGGCAGCAGUGGGGAAUUUUGGACAAUGGGCGAAAGCCUGAUCCAGCAAUGCCGCGUGUGUGAAGAAGGCCUUCGGGUUGUAAAGCACUUUUGUCCGGAAAGAAAUCCUUGGCUCUAAUACAGUCGGGGGAUGACGGUACCGGAAGAAUAAGCACCGGCUAACUACGUG